GCCCAUUGAUUUAUAAAUAAAAAUUUUAAAUAAUUGAAAAUAAAUUUAAAGGACGCGGUAUACUGACCGUGAUAAUGUAGCAUAAUCAUUCGCCAUUUAAUUAAUGGAUAGUAUGAAUGGUUGAACGAAUAUAACACUGUCUUAAAUAAAAAAUCUAUAAAAUUGAAAUAAUAGUAAAGAUGCUAUUUAAAAUUGUAAGACGAGAAGACCCUAUAGAGCUUAACUACAUUUAUUUUAUAAAAUAAAAUGGUAGUUUAGUUGGGGCGACUACCUUUUAAAAAAAACAAAGGUAAUCAAAAAUUAAUUAAUUAAUUUAUUGUUUAAUAUAUAUAUUUAACAAUUACAAAAGUAGGAAAUAAUGACCCAUUAAAUAAAAAAAGUAUUAUUAAUGAUUAAUAAAUAAAAGCUACCUUAGGGAUAACAGGAUAA
rnacentral:rRNA from 1 species